rnacentral:rRNA from 1 species
GACGGAGGAUGCAAGUGUUAUCCGGAAUCACUGGGCGUAAAGCGUGCGUAGGCUGUUUCAUAAGUCUGUUGUCAAAGCGCGAGGCUCAACCUUGUAAAGGCAAUGGAAACUGCGAGACUAGAGAGAGAUAGGGGCAGGAGGAAUUCCAGGUGUAGCGGUGAAAUGCGUAGAUAUCUGGAAGAACACCAGUGGCGAAAGCGUCCUGCUGGAUCUCAACUGACGCUGAAGUACGAAAGCUAGGGGAGCGAAUGGG